CAGUAGCCGCGGGAAUACGAAGGGUGCAAGCGUUACUCGGAAUUACUGGGCGUAAAGCGUGCGUAGGUGGUGGUUUAUGUCCGUUGUGAAAGCCCUGGGCUCAACCUGGGAAUUGCAGUGGAUACUGGGUCACUAGAGUGUGGUAGAGGAUAGUGGAAUUUCCGGUGUAGCAGUGAAAUGCGUAGAGAUCGGAAGGAACAUCUGUGGCGAAGGCGACUAUCUGGGCCAACACUGACACUGAGGCACGAAAGCGUGGGGAGCAAACAGGAUUAGAUACCCCCGUAGUCCCUGUCUCUUAUAA
rnacentral:rRNA from 1 species